AGGCAAUGAUGAGGUUCCACUUCAGGUCCGUGUUUCUGAAUCCUGAUUUGAAUGGAAGUCCUGAGCCA
ensembl:snoRNA SNORD18 Small nucleolar RNA SNORD18